rnacentral:rRNA from 1 species
UACGUAGGGUGCAAGCGUUAUCCGGAAUUACUGGGCGUAAAGAGCUCGUAGGUGGUUUGUCGCGUUGUUCGUGAAAACUCACAGCUUAACUGUGGGCGUGCGGGCGAUACGGGCAGACUUGAGUACUGCAGGGGAGACUGGAAUUCCUGGUGUAGCGGUGGAAUGCGCAGAUAUCAGGAGGAACACCGGUGGCGAAGGCGGGUCUCUGGGCAGUAACUGACGCUGAGGAGCGAAAGCGUGGGGAGCGAACAGG